GGAAUCCAAGUGUGUGUUACCUGGCAGGAAGUUACCUGCCAGGAAAGGUAUAGGUAGAGGCCCCCUGGUGGCAUGUGUGUGUUAUGUCUGUGCUGCCUGAAAUGUUUGAUUAAAGCCACAAGAAACCUA